GUCGAGCGGCAAGAUUGAGUAGUAAUACUUAACCUAGAGCGGCGCACGGGCUGCGUAACGCGUAUGCAACCUACCUUUUACUGGGGGAUAGCCCGGAGAAAUCUGGAUUAAUACCCCAUGGAACCUAAGAAUCGCCUGGUUUUUAGUUUAAAGAUUUAUCGGUAAAAGAUGGGCAUGCGUCUGAUUAGCUAGUUGGCGGGGUAACGGCCCACCAAGGCGACGAUCAGUAGGGGUUCUGAGAGGAAGGUCCCCCACACUGGCACUGAGAUACGGGCCAGACUCCUACGGGAGGCAGCAGUAGGGAAUAUUGGGCAAUGGUCGCAAGACUGACCCAGCCAUGCCGCGUGCAGGAAGACGGCCCUCUGGGUUGUAAACUGCUUUUAUCUGGGAAGAAAAAGUCCAUGCGUGGAAAAUUGCCGGUACCAGAUGAAUAAGCACCGGCUAACUCCGUGCCAGCAGCCGCGGUAAUACGGAGGGUGCAAGCGUUGUCCGGAUUUAUUGGGUUUAAAGGGUGCGUAGGCGGCUGAAUAAGUCAGCGGUGAAAGACUUCGGCUUAACCGGAGCAGUGCCGUUGAUACUGUUUAGCUUGAGUGUUGGAGGGGUACAUGGAAUUGAUGGUGUAGCGGUGAAAUGCAUAGAUACCAUCAGGAACACCGAUAGCGAAGGCAUUGUACUGGCCAACAACUGACGCUGAGGCACGAAAGUGUGGGGAUCGAACAGGAUUAGAUAC
rnacentral:rRNA from 1 species